GCACUCCAGACUUUCUACGGGCUUGUUCAAUGCACUCCUGAUCUU
rnacentral:sRNA from 1 species